rnacentral:lncRNA from 1 species
UAGUCACAUAUGUGCCCACCAGCAUAUUGCAUCUUGCCAGAAAAGGUAUCAAUUCCAUUUCAGAAAAGAUAUUGAUAUACAGUUACAAAAAUCUGGUUGUCCCAAAGGUUCUAGACAGGCAUGAAAGAGAAUAGAAACGAUACGCACUCAGACACAAAUGAUACGGCACCAUGGAUAGCACAAGCUUUGAUCUGACAUCCAUCGUCUCUCAAACCCACCACCAGCAGCAGCGGCAACAAGGAUGCAAGUAGAAGACUUGUUGCGUCAGCAGCAGCAGCAGCAGCAGCAGCAGCAGCAAUGAAGGGGCUACACAAGGAGCAUCGGCAAACAUUAUGAUUCCCCAAAUAUAUUGUACAACCUGCGGAAGGAGGAAAUGAAAUGAAGUGUAUAAAUAUAUCGAAAAAUGAAUCACACAGGGGCUGUUAUGUCUGUCAGGGAUUGAUCUUAUGCCUUCAGAUCUAAUACAUUUUGGCCUUCCUAAAUGGUUCAAGAGAUGAUCAUCAUGGGUUAUGAAAAAUCAACACAAAAAAGCAGUCAUGAAAUCUGCUAGCACAUAAAAUGGAGUCAAAGGGACGUAUCAGCUAGGGCAGAGGCAGCGAUAACAGUACACGUGAGCAAAGCAAAUGGGAGCAGAGAAGCAGGGCCAUGCAGCAUAUCCUCCCGUAGGGAGGUUCCAGUCCGAUAAUAUAACAUAAUAAAAGACAAUGUGCAGAAAAGCUGUCUGUUUUAAAGUAUGACCAUGCAAGAGAGUUCGAAUAAUUCCGAGAAUUCUGAAUCACAACAUGGCCCUCAGAUUUCAGUUUCAUCAUAGGCUAAUGCAAUGGGCUUCAAAGCUUGGCACUGGGGCAUGUCUGGGUGAAAUGAAGAGGAGGCAUGGCGAUGGCGGCGACGAGGAGGAGAGGUAGACCUGCAGCAAGAGCCGGCCCAUCACUCAGUGGUAGGGCUUCCGCAGAAGCAACGGCUGAUCCAGACACAUGCCCCAGCGCCCAGAACAGAGAAGCAAGCGCUGCAUUAGCCAUUUCGUGGGCUUCAACCUUGCGAAUGCAAUGGCUGACCCCGUUUCGAGCUCAAAUCUGAGCCAAUCUAUCUAUCCAUCCCCACAUGGGGCUUUAAACAUCAUCAUUGGGCCAAGGGGAAAUCCAUGCAACAAGCGAAAAUAUAGUAAUGGACCAAACAAACUACGAAACUAAAUCCAUACAGAGCUCGAUCAAAACAAAUAAUCAAACCACCAGAAAACUGGAUAAUCGAAAAGGAAAAUAGCCAUAGGAGACUUGUUGUGCCACCAGCAGCAGCAGGAGGAAUGAAGGGGCCACAGGAGGGACCAUCGCAUUAGCAUUCAUUCAAGAGCAGCAAACAGAAAGAUUAUGAUCCCAUACUGUACGGCCCGAGGAAAGAGGAAAUGAAAUGAAUAUACC